rnacentral:rRNA from 1 species
CCUACGGGUGGCAGCAGUGGGGAAUAUUGGACAAUGGGGGGAACCCUGAUCCAGCCAUGCCGCGUGUGUGAAGAAGGCCCUCGGGUUGUAAAGCACUUUCAGUGAGGAAGAACGCCUGGUGGUUAAUACCCAUCAGGAAAGACAUCACUCACAGAAGAAGCACCGGCUAACUCCGUGCCAGCAGCCGCGGUAAUACGGAGGGUGCGAGCGUUAAUCGGAAUUACUGGGCGUAAAGCGCGCGUAGGUGGCUUGAUAAGCCGGUUGUGAAAGCCCCGGGCUCAACCUGGGAACGGCAUCCGGAACUGUCAAGCUAGAGCGCAGGAGAGGAAGGUAGAAUUCCCGGUGUAGCGGUGAAAUGCGUAGAGAUCGGGAGGAAUACCAGUGGCGAAGGCGGCCUUCUGGACUGACACUGACACUGAGGUGCGAAAGCGUGGGUAGCAAACAGGAUUAGAUACCCGUGUAGUC